AGCUUUGUGCAGUGGCAGUAUCGUAGCCAAUGAGGUUUAUCCGAUUAUUGCUAAUUGAAAACUUUUCCCAAUACUUUACAAGAUUAUUACAAAUAUGUAAAGAACCUAAUACAGUGUCUUGACC
rnacentral:snRNA from 1 species